GCACGGGUGAGUAACACGUAUCCAACCUGCCGACAACACUGGGAUAGCCUUUCGAAAGAAAGAUUAAUACCGGAUGGCAUAGUCUUCCCGCAUGGGAUGACUAUUAAAGAAUUUCGGUUGUCGAUGGGGAUGCGUUCCAUUAGGCAGUUGGCGGGGUAACGGCCCACCAAACCAACGAUGGAUAGGGGUUCUGAGAGGAAGGUCCCCCACAUUGGAACUGAGACACGGUCCAAACUCCUACGGGAGGCAGCAGUGAGGAAUAUUGGUCAAUGGACGAGAGUCUGAACCAGCCAAGUAGCGUGAAGGAUGACUGCCCUAUGGGUUGUAAACUUCUUUUAUACGGGAAUAAAGUGAGCCACGUGUGGCUUUUUGUAUGUACCGUAUGAAUAAGGAUCGGCUAACUCCGUGCCAGCAGCCGCGGUAAUACGGAGGAUCCGAGCGUUAUCCGGAUUUAUUGGGUUU
rnacentral:rRNA from 1 species